UGUUUACUAUUAUCCUUAUCAGCAUGUAUUAUUAGUAAAAAUUUCAUUAUUUAAGUUCAAAGGUUUUUGUUAGUUUAAAUCUCGUUCUACUUUCUCUGUUGUUCCAUUAUGGGAGGAUUAUUAAAAAGAAUACAUCAAGAAAUUCAAAGUGCUCCUCCUAAGUGUCCUAAAGUGCAUUUCCU